GAUGAACGCUGACAGAAUGCUUAACACAUGCAAGUCAACUUGAAUUUGGGUCUUUUGACUUAGAUUUGGGUGGCGACGGGUGAGUAACGCGUAAAGAACUUGCCUCACAGUUAGGGACAACAUUUGGAAACGAAUGCUAAUACCUGAUAUAUGAAUAUAUGGCAUCAUAUAAUUAUGAAAGCUAUAAGCGCUGUGAGAGAGCUUUGCGUCCCAUUAGCUAGUUGGAGAGGUAACGGCUCACCAAGGCGAUGAUGGGUAGCCGGCCUGAGAGGGUGAACGGCCACAAGGGGACUGAGACACGGCCCUUACUCCUACGGGAGGCAGCAGUGGGGAAUAUUGGACAAUGGACCAAGAGUCUGAUCCAGCAAUUCUGUGUGCACGAUGACGUUUUUCGGAAUGUAAAGUGCUUUCAGUUGGGAAGAAAAAAAUGACGGUACCAACAGAGAAGUGAAAGCUAAAUAAC
rnacentral:rRNA from 1 species